rnacentral:lncRNA from 10 species
GACAGCUCCUAGGAAAGGGGCGGGCCCCGUGUGUGUGUGUGUGUGUGUGUGUGUGUGUGUGUGUGUGUGUGUGAUCUGAGCCCUAGGGCUGGGGGGCAGAGAGUUCCUGACUAGAUGCCACGCCCAGUUCAGCAGCCCCCUACCCCAAGGCCGGAGUCCUCCGCACAGGGUGGGGGAGGGGGAGGGAGCAAAGCUGGGGCUCCUGGGGGCCACCCCCACCAUUAUUGCACUUGCUUCCGGCAGCCCGUCAGGCCGUGGGGCGAUGUUAGUCCUGUGCUGCCCCCUCGUGGAUGCUGCGAGGCUCGCAAGAAAUGGUGGCCCUGAGGGCGCUUUGGGAAUUGUGGAUCAGGCAUCAGUGUGAAGCUUCCUGCUUGUUUGGGAACGAUGGCGGAAGUCAUGAGCUUAUGUUGGGCGAGGAAAAUGAGUGCAAUGCACUAGGAACAUCCACUCUGUCUGCAAACCCAGAGCGUUCACACAGCACUCUGCUUUAUCUGAGACCUCCCAGCCAUGCCUUUCCAACGCCAUUCUACAGAUGAGGAAACUGAGGCCCUUACCGGCAAGAUUAAGUGACCGCCCACGGUCACACAGUCAGUCACCAGCUGAAAGGAACAGUGAGAAUCUGAGGGCUUAUGGUCCGAGCCCUCAGCCCUGUUUCUGCUCUAACUGGGUACAACCAGGCUCCCUCCGUGGCAGCCUCUCCUGGUCUGGCUCAGCUGAGCUCCAUGGACGCCCGCUGCUCUCAUCACUUCUGCCUCCUGCACUCUCUGCUUCCGGUUCUCUGAGUUUUGUGCUGUUCCGAGGCAGAGUCUCGUUCUAUCACCCAGGCUGGAGUGCAGCGGGGCGAUCUCUGUUCAUUACAACCUCCGCCUCCCGGGUUCAAGCGAUUCUCCUGUCUCAGCCUCCUGAGUAGCUGGGAUUAUAGAGGGUCUUACUUUGUCGCCCAGGCUGGAGUACAGUGGCAUGAUCGUAGCUCAUUGCAGCCUCCACCUCCCUGGGCUCAGGAGAUCCAUCUCAGCCUCCUGAGUAGCUGGGACCACAGGUUUUGUUCAGGUUUAGCACAAGCUGUGAUGAAUAUCUUCAAGCCUCUGCUUCCUGCUGUGGAAUUGUUGCCAAAGGACACAUUCCCAGAUGGGAUUACUGAGUCAGAGGAAGUGGACAUUGAGUGGCUCUCAACAGACAGGCUGUGUUGCUCUCACAGUGCCCAGGCUCUCCCUCUAUCGUCCAGGCUGGAGUGCAGUGGCACCAUCACGACUGACUGCAGCCUCCUGCGCCCCGUGAUCUUCCCACCUCAGUGCCCUGAGUAACUGGGACCACAGCUUCCCAUGGGUGGCCAGCCGAAUGCAUUAUGGGAGAAAGCAGGUCUCGUGGAUAAUAUUUCUGAAGAUCGGAGCAGGUUGCCAGGUCCACGUCGGCCAUGACUGCAGCACGCUCCGGAGGCAGCAGGGGGCACCCUGGAGCUUCGCAUCCUCCUUCAGGCCCGCGGCAUCUCCCCUGGCUCCACCAUCCCCAGGUGUCUCAGCAGCAGCCUUGUGGCUGUGCCUCUUCUGUGCCCUCCGAGUUCUAGGCUGAGGGUGAGGAUUGGAUGAGUUGAUCCACGCAAGGCUCCUGGCACAGUGCCUGGCAUAUGGUUAAAUAGACUUGAAGUUAUAAUUACCAGGCCUGUUUCCUCCUCAUGAGAGGUGGAGCGGUGGUUCCCAAACACGAUGUGGGAAGUGUGUUAAAAUGCAGAUCCUGGGCUCGACCCUGAAGCUCUUCCGGCAUCCACCUUCCCAGGUGACCAGACUCUGGGGAAGGCAUCACCUCAAGACUCCUGCACCCUUCCUCCAGAGUCCUGGGAUUCAGCUAAAUCCUGGGAAGGUAGGACGGGCCUGCGCCUCCCGCCUUCCUUUGCUGUAGGGUUGGUCCUGUCUCUGCUCCCUCAACCCCUAGUUCCUGUCCAUUUCUCUUGAGACAGCUUGUCUGUCUCGGGUCCUCUAAACCUACUCUCAGGCCCUCACUUCCUGUCACCUGGGCAGCAGAGCAUGUUUUCUUCAAUAGCACCCUCCCUAAGAGACUCUUCAAAUCAUUUAUUUGUCAUGAUGCAUGAUAGUUAAAUGAAAUAACAGAGGCAAUGAAGCACCUGCUCAGAGGCUGGCACCUGGUGCACUUUUGACAAGUGACACUUUCAUCUUGACAGUUGGGAGGAGCUUGCAUGGAUGAGUGGGGACGUGGGUGUGCUGGGUGGCACCAGGGCACACACAGCUUGACAUAUGGACACUGUCUGGCAGCAGGUUAGAUUAGAGGUGGACGGGGUACGGAUGUGUGGACAAUUAAACUAGGACUCAGGGACGCUCUGCCCCAGGACUGGGCAGGCAAGAGCUCUGGGAAGUCAGUGGGCAGACAAAGGGUGUGGUUGGGUGGGCAGGGCUUCCUGGGGGAGGUGAUGGUGUUGACCUGACCAGGGACCCAUGCCCUUUCACCACUUUGUUGUUCUUUUUUUUUUUGAG